UACGUAGGGUGCGAGCGUUGUCCGGAAUUAUUGGGCGUAAAGAGCUCGUAGGCGGUGUGUCGCGUCGGCCGUGAAAACCUGCAGCUUAACUGUGGGCGUGCGGUCGAUACGGGCAUCACUGGAGUUCGGCAGGGGAGACUGGAAUUCCUGGUGUAGCGGUGAAAUGCGCAGAUAUCAGGAGGAACACCGGUGGCGAAGGCGGGUUUCUGGGCCGAUACUGACGCUGAGGAGCGAAAGCGUGGGGAGCGAACAGG
rnacentral:rRNA from 1 species